rnacentral:misc_RNA from 1 species
UCUUGCAUUGUUCGGUUUGGUAUAAUUUUUCAUUUCAUUUCCAUAAAGGCUCUCAACAUUAGUUAAACUAUAGCACACAUUUGCAUUAAAAACUCAAUCACCAAACCUGCAAUUAUUAGUCUAAUAUAUGGAAUUAACAAACACAACUUUAAUUAAUUACAAAUUAAACACCUCUAUUAACCAUCUCUAUGAAAUGUUGAUACGAUUCCUGGCGCUGAAGCCUUAUUUCAUUAUUGAACUUGUUAAUGAAAGCCUCUAUUCGCCGAUUCAACUCGUCCUGACUCAUCGAUUUCUCUUCCUUUAGUGACGCUCUCUCACCGAACGUCUCCGACUUUCUCAGCUGUCGCCAAGCCCAUGCAACCGGAUCCAUAUCAUCAUCAUCAUCGAUGGUAGCAGCAGCAUCCGCCGCUGCUCCUGUUGCCACCAACACCCGAGGGGCUGUGUACCACGUCUCACUUUUCUUUAGCUGCCGUGACUGCAUCUUCCUUUUCCCUUCCAUGAUUAUCUUCCACAUUUCCUCCAUCGUGUCCUCUGCUGCUUCUUCUGGAAGUUCAAUUGUCGUCGUCGUCAUGGUAGUCUCUUUUUCCAUCCGCAGUGGUUUACCAGAAUCUGUCAGGCCAGAGUCACAGGAGCUACAGGGCUCUGGAGAUGGAUUAAUGGUUUUCGCAAAGUGCACUGGUUUUACAUCUUCUUCAUCAACGUCGAUGUAUUGCCAGAGAUUGCCUAGACUUUUCUCUGUAGAUAGAAACUGGGUUCUUGUAGAGGAUGGUUUGGUGUCCCUGUCGUUUUUGUACUGAAGUGUAGAGGAAGCAGCAAUGGUUAUGAUAAUGAAGUUGAGAAUGAUAUAGAUG